rnacentral:misc_RNA from 1 species
CCACCCUCAAGCCCUGGGCUUGGUGUUGGGGCGCUACAUCCCCUGUAGGCCCCGAAGACCAGUGGCGGUCUCGCCGGACCCCGAGCGCAGUACUUUCUCGCUCAGGGGCCCCCGGCGGGCUCCAGCCGUGAAACCCCACUAC